GCGCCCGUAGCUCAGCUGGAUAGAGCACCGGACUUCUAAUCCGACGGUCGCAGGUUCGAAUCCUGCCGGGCGCGCCG
rnacentral:tRNA from 2 species